rnacentral:rRNA from 1 species
UGAGUAACCUGCCUUCAGCUUUGGGAUAACCCUCGGAAACGGGGGCUAAUACCGGGUAUUCAGCUUCUGCGGCAUCGUGGGGGUUGGAAAGUUUUUCGGCUGGGGAUGGGCUCGCGGCCUAUCAGCUUGUUGGUGAGGUAAUGGCUCACCAAGGCGACGACGGGUAGCCGGCCUGAGAGGGCAUCGGCCACACUGGGACUGAGACACGGCCCAGACCUCCGUACGGGAGGCA